CCCAUAAACUCUAAAUCUCAAUUUCUCUCCUAUGUGUGAAAUGUGAAAUUUUCUUUAUAUUUGUUAAUGGGUCUUCAAUUUUCAUUAAUGGCAUUGAGAAAUCAAUCUUGUUCGCUCUCAGUUGUAUUAGCAUUAGAAUGGAGCUCUCAUUCCUUCCUCUCCUUCCUUCUCUCUCUCUCUCUCUCUCUCUCUCUCCACUCAAAUCCACUGCUUCUCUGAUUCUAAUUGUCAGCCCCAAUUUGAUGACAUGAAGCGCAGCCUCGACCAUUUCAAAAUCUCCGACGACGAGUGGGAGGAGCACUCCUCCUCCUUCAAGCCCUCUCGCGUCUUCAAGAAGUUGCGCACCCCGACGCCGACGGCAAUCGAGUCAUUCACCUACCGGAAGUGCCGAGUCUCUGAUAAUGACUCUGAUUGCGUCGAGAUUAAGGACGAUUCGGACGACGAUUGAGUGGAGAUCAAGAACGAUUUGGAGGACGACGACGUCGUCGAGGAGGUCCGCCGGCCGGUGACACGUGGAGGGAGGUUUGUGGUCGAAGACGAGGAUAGCGACGGGGAUUGGCCUCCUCUUCGCUUCAGAUUCGAGUCUCUCAUUGCACCACCACCAAACCCUCUUCUUUCCCUUCUUCAAUUGUUACUACUACUUCCAAAUCCCAAUCCCUUUCCUCUAUCUCACAAUGCACUCACAACUCCAACUCAUUUCGGCUCUACACAUGCUCUACAUCAUCUCUCAACUUCCACAGGAGGCCAAAUUCCAUCUGGGUUCCCCAGUUGGUGUGGGUUUCACCGGUUCUUUGGCUACAUCGCGUCUAAAGCUCGGGGACCACAGGUUUAGAAGGCAGAGAUCAGGAAAAACGAGUGGAGAUACUUUGUUCACUACCUUGGAUGGAAUAAAAGGAUGUUGAAAGCAAAAUCAUUAUUGAUGAAGAAGACUAGGAAUAAGCCAUCUGCCAAAAAUGUUACAACAGAGUUGCAACUAGAGCAUCCCUCGCAACAACAGAAGAGGCAGCCACAACAGCCAGGAAAUAGACAGCCACAAGACCCAGCAAAGAGACAGCCACAACAAACAGCAAAGAGGCAGCCAUAACCACCACAGUUGCAGCAACUUGAGGCAUCACAGCAGCGGCAACCACAACCACCAUUACGUUCUAGUGAAAGUGCUGAUCAUGACAUGUCCUCUAAAGGGAAAAAGACACGUGGCGUUACAAAAGGGAUAGGAACUCAUGAUAUUGUCACUGCUGCUAAUGAGAGGAUUCUGAUUCAGAUGAACGAGGAUCAAAAGCUCCCAAAUGGUGUCCAAGCUAAUUCCAGGUUUGUUUCAGAAAUUGGGUCUCGAACACGUUCUUUAGCCCCACUUCAUGUCAAAAAAUGGAAGGAGGUUACACUGGAAGAUAAAGAUGAAAUCACAAAGGGGUUGUUGCAUAAAUUUGAUGUUAAUCUGGAAGAACCUGGCAUUACAAAAUUUGUUGAAGACAAGAUGAAUAACACAUUCAGAUCAUAGAAGGGCAAAUUGCACAAGCACUUCAAAAAAUAUGCUGAUGACAUUGAUUAUGCAAGGGCUCACCCCCCCACUGAGAAAGUGUGUGGUGAUAGGGAGUGGCUGUGUGAUAAUUUGUACACGGAUCAAGCUUAUCAGAUGCAGAACCGUUGUAGGAUCAAUACUAUUAAUAGGAACAAGAAAAUAUAUAAUCACUGUGGUGGUUCACGCCUUUUCACAAAGCAUAUGGAAGCUGAAGAAUAGAAGGGUAAAAAUGUGACCUUUAUUGAGAACUGGAGUCCCGUGCAUCAACAUAGAGGCAACAAUGGUGGUGUUUGGAUCAAUGAAGAAGCAGAGAAGACGGGGAAAAAGCUGACUGGAGAGUUCAUCAAAACCAAGCAACAAUUGGCUGAUUCUGAGGGUACCCUAUUUGAGGAUGUUAUAGUGCCUAUCGCUGUGCAAUUAGAUAUCUUGGCUAAAGAGCUUGGGACUAUGAAGGGUAAGACGAUUCGAGGUAUGGGUUAUGGUCUUAAAAAGGACACAUUUUGUCCUUCAGUCACUGGAUCCACUUCUAACCCAACAAAUGCUCAACUUAUGAGGUAUAUUGUUUUAUUGGAAGAGCGACUUGUUUCUCUUGAGGGUGAGAGACAACCUUGUACACAUGAUGUGGAUGAAGAGGGUGUCGAGGAGGGUAAUAUGGAUGAGGAAAAUGAUGAGGAUGUGGAGAAUGAUGAGGAUGAGGAUUUGGAUGUGCUUUAGGUCUUGAUAUCCUCAGGUAGUUUUUUGCAACUUAUAUUUUGGAUGUACAAAUGAAGCCAUGAUACUUCCAGAUGCAUAUAGAUCUCUUUGUUUAGGGCUUUGGCAGGUUUUUGGGUCUUUGAUAUCCUUAUUAAUUAGCUGUUGGCAGGAUACAUUUUCAAUGUAAAAAUUAUGCCCGGAGAUGUCAAAUGCAUCCAACACUUGAUCUAUAACUUUUCAAGUUACUUUGUAAAGUACUGGCUGA